CCAUCACCCCUUAUUCUAUAAACCCACACACCCCAACCUAAAGGGGACCUUCUUCUUGAACAACAAGAGACGAAAAUAAGAGUAACGCCGACAAUCUGAAAAAUGAAGGCCGAAAAAUCUGAACAGUAUAGAUGCGCCGAGGACAGCCGCAAUAGAAUCUGCACCCCACCGCUAUUCUUCUUCGACCAAACGACACCCCCUUGCUUCAUCUUCUCCAAAACUCAGGCAGCGAAAGCUAUCGAGACCACCACAGUUCGCCGGGAAUGGAGCAGAAACAGUGAAAAGCUCGCCGGAAUAACACAGUGAUCGACCACUCGAACCCACCAUCAGCUCCUCCUCUCAAAAACCAAGGAAUCACACACAAAUCAUCUGAUCGCCAAACUGUACACAACAGAGUCAAACAAACGGGAAAAGAAAGUGAAGAGAAAAAAAAACGAAUUGAAAAAUCUUUUUAAUUUUAGAUUUUGGGUCCGAAAAUGAAUUUUUCUUUAAGUGUUGGAACUGGAUUCAAAUCCGAUUGAUUGGAAUUGCUAUUUGGGGUUGGUUCAUUCGAGUACCAUCCGCGGUUCAUCAUAUUUUUGAGUUCAAACCGGUGAAGUAAUCAAUUUCCAUCUAUACCGAGGUUUAUUUCUUACUCUUCUCCUCAACUAUGUGUGUAUUUGCUGUUGUGUUGAUGAAUUGAAUCCAUAUGUGAUUGAGAUUAUACAUACAUUUGUCUGGUUGGAAUUUCUGUUGUUUCCCAUUUGAGAAUCAUUGUUGAAUCGUUUGAUUGUUAGUAAGCCCAGUUAAAAGAAAGAGUAAGGAAGUUGUAAUUUGAAAGCUUCCAAUCAAAAUGGGUUGUGGAUUGACAAACUUCCGAAAAGAAAUUUUGGUCAAGAUCAGUGAAAUGAAGUUGGGAUGUGGUGCUGGAAUAUAAGAAACAAAUUGAGAUUUGAAUGCUAUACAUUAAUUAUUUUAUUUUACUGAUUUAAUCGAUAGGAGAAUGCUUAGGCUGACCACACAUGAGUAGGCAAACUUUAGUAAUUAUUUUAUUUUACUGAUUUGAUCGAUAGGAGCAUGCUUAGGCCGACCACACUUGGGUAGGCAAACUUUAGAAUUUUUUUUAAUUUGAGGCUAGAGGUCGUUCCCGUAGUUAAAUUUAUUCGGGGAAUCCCUCGUGAAAUUUUUAUAUAUUAUUAUCCGGGGUAUGCCCCGAAGAACUAUGUAAAUAUGUUGGAGGCCUUGGCGACAUGGUGGAGAAGUCGUAGUAUUGGUUAGCUUAGGACUUUUCUCUUUAUUUCCUUUUAUUUAGGCGGGAACGACCUAGAGCCUCUAGUGUGUUUACUUUAUUUCUAUGUGUUUUACCUCAAUUUGAAUCCUUUAAAAGCCAACCUGAUCGAGUAUGCAACCGUGACCUUCACGGGACUUGGGGAGUGCCUCACACCUUCUCCCUGAGUCAAAUGAACCCCCUUACCCGAAUCUCUGGUGCGGACUUAGUUUUGAGUCCAAGUGUUUUCAACGGAAAAUAUUUUUUAAGAACCGGUGUCCUGGCACACCGAAAUCCAAUGUCAGGUGGCGACUCUGAGUUUAUUUCCUUUUGAACACCAUUUUGUCACUUUCAAAAUCGAAAACCCUUUCAAGCUUUACUUAAAUUCUUUUAUUAAUUUAAUAGGGUUAAGUGAGGGUUUGGUUAAAAGAAAAAGGGUGUGACAUCUCUGGCGACUCUGCUGGGGAAUUGCAGGUUCGAGGUAGUAUUUGAUCUUGUUGGCUUUUAGGAUGUUCGGUUGAGGUUUUUAUGUGUUUUGUUUGCUUUAUUUGAUUUAUAUUUUGUUUGUCUUUUAUUAUUUGCUAGUUGCUUACUUGUUUACAUCACAAGAAGGGUUGCUCUGAUGGUAAGCAACCCCCACUUCCAACCGAGAGAUUGUGAGUUCGAUUUGGGUCCACUCGUAUUUUUCUUUCAUAGUCUUUCAAAAAUAAAAAAAUCAAAAAUCAAAAAUCAAAAAAUAUUUUACACUUUUCCAUCAAUUUCUAAAAUUCAAAAAAUGACAAUACAAAAUAAAAAAAAAUUUACACUUUGCCAUCUUUUUUCCAUAAAUUCACAAAAAGUAGAAAAUGAAAAAUCCAAAAGACUUUACACUUUUUCAUUAUUUUUCAAAAAUUUAAAAAGUAGAAAAUGAAAAUCCAAAAAAGAUUUUAUAUUUUUCCAUUAUUUUUCAAUAAAUAAAAAAAAAGUAGAAAAUGAAAAAAUCAAACACUUUCCAUCAUUUUUUCAAAAAAGACCAAAAAUAAUUUUUAUUACAAAUUAGAUGCAUUUUUUUUCCUUUAUCCUAUGUUUAAUCCUCCCGAACUACGCGAACCUGAUUCUCGUCCUUCGGAGUGAGAUACGUAGGCAACCCACUUAGAGUUAUGAGUCCUAUAUGUUUAAGGCCAUAUAGACCUUUAUGAGGUGUUUCCUUAUUGAGUUUUUCAUUUUCAGUCACUUUUGGUUACGUAAGCCUUUUUGCAAAAAUAGCAUUAAUCAUGCCUUGCAUGUGUCUAAAAGAAGGUGUCAUGGCGUCACAUGUGUCUUGAGUCACUAACUCUAUUUGAUCAUAUUUUUCCCAUUCAGGUAUGGAGCAAUUUGCUAGAGUUUGAGCUCGACAACCC
rnacentral:lncRNA from 1 species